UACGUAGGGUGCGAGCGUUAAUCGGAAUUACUGGGCGUAAAGCGUGCGUAGGCGGUUCGUUAAGUUCGUUGUGAAAGCCCCGGGCUCAACCUGGGAACUGCAAUGGAAACUGGCGGGCUUGAGUGUGGCAGAGGGGGGUGGAAUUCCGCGUGUAGCAGUGAAAUGCGCAGAUAUCGGGAGGAACACCAAUGGCGAAGGCAGCUCGCUGGGACGGUACUGACGCUGAGACGCGAAAGCGUGGGGAGCGAACAGG
rnacentral:rRNA from 1 species